rnacentral:lncRNA from 1 species
UUUAUCCUGAAAUAAUGAGGCACAUGUGCAUUUUGAUUUAUAUGCAUGCAUCUCAUACCUCCUUUUUUUUUUUUGCACGUAUGUAAUUGGUUUUCAUUCACUCAAUACUGUGAAUGCCUGCUAUGUUCUAGAAAAUCAUUCUUAUUAUUAAGAUAAUAUAAAAUACAACUUUGUGUUGCUUAUUCAUAAACUAUGUUUCCUUCAAACUAUCUGCGCAGUACAUUUCUCAAGGAUAUUUUCGUUAAAGGGACAAUAAGAUGCUAUUUGGCACUUUAACCAUCUCCUCGGGCACUGCCAUUCUGGAACAUCUGUCUCACCAUUUGGCUAAUAGAUGCUGGGUCUUUUUUUUCCCCCAAGAUUCAAAGUUGCAGAAGCAUUUAGUUACUUCAUGAAGCCUCUUUGAUGGCUUAGGCAUGUUGAGAAAACAUUAAGUAAAGGGAAGGCAAGCUGUUUAUAAGAGGUCUUUUUAACAGUGAAGAAAAUGUUCAUAAAAAAUGUAUAUAGAAUGGUAAUAUCUAAGAAGUGCAGGGUCCCUGGGAGUAUAGCUUUGAAUGACCCUGAAAUGCAAGUCUUUUGAUGUCUCACCCCAUGUUUCCAUCUCCAAGUAUCUGUUAGAGACAACGAUCACUGCAAUUGUACUUG